AUUGAACGCUGGCGGCAGGCCUAACACAUGCAAGUCGAGCGGAUGAAGUGAUCUUUCUCCUGGAUUCAGCUUCGGACUGGUGUGUAUUUCCUAUGAAUCUGCCUUGUUGUGUUUGAUAACGUCCGUUAACGGGCUCUAAUACCGCAUACUUCCUGAGUUAGAAAGUGGGGGUUCUUCUGACCUCCCGCUAUCUUAUGAUCCUAGGUCGUAUUAGCUAGUUGGUUGGGUAAAGGCCUACCAAGGCGACGAUCCGUAACUGGUCUGAGAGGAUGAUCAGUCAAACUGGAAGGGAGACAGGGUCAAGAGGAAUACGGGAGGAAGCAGAGGGGAAUAUUGGACAAUGGGGGAAAGGAUGAUACAGCAAAGGCGAGUGUGUGAAGAAGGUCUUAGGAUUGUAAAGAAAUUUAAGUUGGGAGGAAGGGAAGUAAGGUAAAAAAUAGAUGUAUUGACGUUAACAAAAGAAUAAGCACCGGCUAACUACGUG
rnacentral:rRNA from 1 species